UACGUAGGGUGCAAGCGUUAAUCGGAAUUACUGGGCGUAAAGCGUGCGCAGGCGGUUUUGUAAGUCAGAUGUGAAAUCCCCGGGCUUAACCUGGGAACCGCGUUUGAAACUACAAGGCUAGAGUGUGGCAGAGGGGGGUGGAAUUCCACGUGUAGCAGUGAAAUGCGUAGAGAUGUGGAGGAACACCGAUGGCGAAGGCAGCCCCCUGGGUUAACACUGACGCUCAGGCACGAAAGCGUGGGGAGCAAACAGG
rnacentral:rRNA from 1 species